GCGCAGGUCCCGGGCCGAGGUGCAGGCUGGGAGAACUCAGUCCUCCACCGUCCCAGCCGGCCCCGCGCCCGCGUGUCCCUCCCGUCGCGCUAGCGGCACGCGGCGUGGCUGCUCGUUGGUUACUUAGGAGGGAAAGUCGGUUGGUGUUUCUGCCGGAUUUUCCCCCUUGGGCGGUAGCGGAGCUGAUCAGCGUGAUAGUAGAAGCUCUGGCGGCAGCAAAAUGACUGCGAGGGAUGGCGACGGCUGCAGCAGGACCCGCAACGUCCCAGAGGUUUUUCCAGAACUUCUCGGAUGCGCUCAUCGACGAGGACCCCCCUCCCCCGCCAGGUGACGUUAGAGAUGAGAGAGCCUAUUUCUGCUUCCUCCACUCCCGGCUGAGCCGCCUCCUUCCCGCACCGCCUGAUUGGGACCCAGGCUCCUGUCGAUGCUGCGUCUCAGCCCCAGUACUGAGAUUCUCGGUCUCCGUUCUCUGUCCCACGGUGUGCAGUGAAGACGAACUGUGA
rnacentral:lncRNA from 1 species